UGUAAUUUCUGCAAAUUAGGGUUUGGAAUGGCCCUGUUUGGGUGGUCUCCAUCGUCGUUCUCAUUGCUUCAAUCCCAUAAACAUUCUUCGAAAACCCUAAUCGCAGUUUCAACAACCACCAAUCGCAAAAUCCAUCCAGUUUCAAUCUCGUCUGCGUCGCCCGGUCUCCGUUAUCCAUGUCUCCGGUGCUGCGCAACUGACGAUGAAUCUUCUUCAACAAGAAUCUUUAUAAAAGGACUGCCACAAUCCACCUGUGAGGGAAGUCUGAAGAAGGCAUUUUCACAGUUUGGGGAAGUCAGCAAAGUGAGAAUCAAGAGAAAUAAAAUUUCUUCUCAACCUUUGGGAUUUGCAUUUGCUUGGUUUACGACUGAAGAAUCUGCUCAAUUGGCUGUGAAAAUGAUGGAUGGAAAGGCAUGCAUCUUUGAUAAUAUUUUGUGUUUCGCACUAAAUUUUUUGAGGCAAUAAAGCCCUUUUCAUCAAUUAGAAAUUGGUUUCCUGUUCAGUUUUUUCAUGGCAGGUUUGUAUUUGUUAAAAUUGCUAAGCCUGGACCUUCCAAAAGGCAUGUGAAGGCAGCACCAUACAAGUUCUAAUUGAAAACGAUGAGAAACAAAAUUUCCAUUCAACCUCUGGGAUUUCCAUGGAUUAAAAAGAAUCUGCUCAAUUGGCUGUGAAAGUGAUGGAUGGACCGAAUGGUGUUUCCAUGGCAGGUUUGUAUUUGUUACAGUUGCAAAGCCUAGACCUUCCAAAAGGGAUGCAAGGGCAGCACCAUACAACUGUACAAGUUCUUACAUGGACAUGUUCAGCUUGGUUUGGAGUUGUAAAAUUGGUAACACACAAUUGUUAGUGUCUUAGAUGUUCUUCGGUGUAUCACUCAUCAGUGCUUCACCUCUCCUCCACUCUUUCCCUAUUCAUUUGUAACUUGUGAUCUUCAAAGGGGAUUAUUUCAUUUACAUCCUAUAAGCUCUGUUGUAAAUAUA